rnacentral:rRNA from 1 species
CCUACGGGUGGCAGCAGUCGAGAAUCAUUCACAAUGGGGGAAACCCUGAUGGUGCGACGCCGCGUGGGGGAAUGCAGGUCUUCGGAUUGUAAACCCCUGUCAUGUGGGAGCAAAUUAAAAAGAUAGUACCACAAGAGGAAGAGACGGCUAACUAGGUGCCAGCAGCCGCGGUAAUACAGAGGUCUCAAGCGUUGUUCGGAAUCACUGGGCGUAAAGCGUGCGUAGGCUGUUUCGUAAGUCGUGUGUGAAAGGCGCGGGCUCAACCCGCGGACGGCACAUGAUACUGCGAGACUAGAGUAAUGGAGGGGGAACCGGAAUUCUCGGUGUAGCGGUGAAAUGCGUAGAGAUCGAGAGGAACACUCGUGGCGAAGGCGGGUUCCUGGACAUUAACUGACGCUGAGGCACGAAGGCCAGGGGAGCGAAAAGGAUUAGAUACCCCAGUAGUC